rnacentral:tRNA from 1 species
UGGUUCAGUGGUAGAAUCCUUGUCUUCCACAUAGGCGACCCAGGUUCAAUUCCUGG